rnacentral:rRNA from 1 species
GACGAACGCUGGCGGCGUGCCUAAUACAUGCAAGUAGAACGCUGAAGGAGGAGCUUGCUUCUCUGGAUGAGUUGCGAACGGGUGAGUAACGCGUAGGUAACCUGCCUGGUAGCGGGGGAUAACUAUUGGAAACGAUAGCUAAUACCGCAUAAGAGUAGAUGUUGCAUGACAUUUGCUUAAAAGGUGCAAUUGCAUCACUACCAGAUGGACCUGCGUUGUAUUAGCUAGUUGGUGGGGUAACGGCUUACCAAGGCGACGAUACAUAGCCGACCUGAGAGGGGGCUCGGCCACACUGGGACUGAGACACGGCCCAGACUCCUACGGGAGGCAGCAGUAGGGAAUCUUCGGCAAUGGACGGAAGUCUGACCGAGCAACGCCGCGUGAGUGAAGAAGGUUUUCGGAUCGUAAAGCUCUGUUGUAAGAGAAGAACGAGUGUGAGAGUGGAAAGUUCACACUGUGACGGUAUCUUACCAGAAAGGGACGGCUAACUACGUG